UGCAAAAUGAUGAAGAUUCCUGAUCUGAAUUCCUGUGUGGAAUCAUAUUAUUAAUGGUCUUCAAAGUUCUCUGAUUGCU